GAUGAAGAACGUAGUGAAAUGCGAUAAGUAAUGUGAAUUGCAGAAUUCAGUGAAUCAUCGAAUCUUUGAACGCACAUUGCGCCCGCUAGUAUUCUGGCGGGCAUGCCUGUUCGAGCGUCAUUUCAACCAUCAAGCCCUGCUUGUGUUGGGGUCCUGCGGCUGCCCGCAGGCCCUGAAAACCAGUGGCGGGCUCGCUAGUCACACCGAGCGCAGUAGCACAUCUCGCUCAGGGCGUGCGGCGGGUUCUUGCCGUAAAACACCCCCUUUUUACCAAGGUUGACCUCGGAUCAGGUAGGAAUACCCGCUGAACUUAAGCAUACAAUAAGCGGAGGA
rnacentral:misc_RNA from 1 species